rnacentral:lncRNA from 1 species
UCAUGAGAGACACAGACAGAGACACAGACUGAGGGAGAAGCAGCUCCAUGUAGGGAGCCUGAUGUGGGACUUGAUCCCGGAUCCCGGGAUCACACCCUGGGCCAAAGGCAGACGCUCAACCACUGAGCCACCCAGGCAUCCCAACAGCAAAUAAUUUUAAGACAAUAAACCAAGUAAAGCCAGGGUUGUUUUUUUAUUAUCACUCUUAACCCAGCAUUUCUCAGUAAUGUCAGUGAUCAAUUAACUCUCCCCCUUCUAAAUUGUUUUUUUUUUCCUUUCCAAAGUUGUUUGUUUUCCUCUAGAGAACAGAAUUUUUAAGCAGCUCUCUUGAGCAGUAAUUGGAUUACAGUAAUUCGUAUAUAUUUAAGGUAUACAUUUGGCUAGUUUUGAACCUAUAUAUACAUCAGCACAAUCAAGAUAGUGAUUAUAUCCACCACCCACAGAAAUUCCCUUGUGCGUCUUCCUCUUCCACUUUCUCAAGAUGUCAAGAGUGAUGCUUUGUGUUGUCUAAGCCACCCUGGGGACCACUGGCUGGGACAGUGCCUUGAUGAUCAAACAGAAGGUGAGGGUGGGUAUAUAGAGAGAGCUCAGGAGCUCUGCGGCUGACCACCAGGAGAGUUUGGCUUGGCUGCGAUGACCAGCAUACCGUAGGCGUCCAGCAAAGAUUUGGAACGAUCAACCACAAGCAGAGAACAACCAGCCGUUAGCAUAGAACAAACAACCAUAAGUGGGGAUCAACCAUCCUCAAGCAUGGAACAGCCCCCCACAAGUAGGGAGCAGCCAACCACAAGUGGGGAACAACCAAACACAAAUGUGGGACAGCCGUUGACAGGUGCUCAAGAAAGAAAGAGGGUGACCCUCUGUCAAUGCAAGUGCAGAGAUAGUGCCAAGGUGCAAAAGACAGCCAAGCAGGUAGAAACGUCCCUGCAAGCAUGUGCAGCCAGAAGAUCCUUUGAAAACUCUAUCAACUGUUCAAGAAAGCACACAAGAGAAACAAGACCAGCAGUAUUUGUUACCAGCAGCUGAUGAAGAGAGCGAAUUAAAUUAAGAGACCACAACUUCUGCGGAAGCAGAAUGAGGGGACCCGGAAUUCUGCUGAUCCAAGUCAUGCAGUUGUGUGCAGAGGCCUGGAGCCCGGUAACUGUUGUUUCCAGAGGAGCCUGUGGGGAAAUGGCCAACCAUGUAGAGGCCGACUGUCAUGCCAACAGGGUACACAGUUUGCAAUGAUUAAAAUCCACAAGAUAGGGGCACCUGGGUGGCUCAGCGGUGAAGUGUCUGCCUUUGGCUCAGGGCGUGAUCCUGGGUCCCGGGAUCGAGUCCCGCAUCGGGCUCCCCAUGGGGAGCCUGCUUCUCCCUCUGCCUGUGUCUCUGCCUCUCUGUAUCUCUCAUGAAUAAAAGAAUAAAAGUAUUAAAAAAAUAAAAACA